CAGCCCCUAGCAUGAGCUCAAAGGCACCUCCUGGCCUGUAAGACCUCGGUCCCCAAAGACAGCCAGUCAGGUCCCCACGGGAAAUGGUAAAAGGAGAAAGCAUUGCCUGGGAAUAAAACUUCAGCUGGCAGGAACUGAAGACAGCAUGAUCACACUUCAGAAAUACAGAUGGGAAUUCUGAAGAUGGACUAAAAUGCCUACCUGUACCCUGGGUCUAAAGGUAGCUGAGGGGCAGUUUAUGGACAAGGUGUGGAGGAAGCCCAGGAUAUGCACAGCUGUGGGCACAAGGCUCUUCACAGUGUGGGCUGGAGCUGCAGAAACCUACACAGGAGUCCACUAUCACCUCAAACUCAGCCUCUGUGACAAUGUGAUCAGCAGUUUCACCCCAUCCUCCUCUGCUCAAUUUCCUGCCUUUGUCAAGGCUUCAGUCUCCUCCUUGGCGCUCAGUGUCCCAUCCUGCCCAUCCUGCUGAAAUGCAUCUAAGAAGACUGGGGAGGGCAAUGGCCACAGAGGGGUGGCAGAAGGCCAUCCUGUCCACUCCCCACCGGCAGGCACAAUGACCACUCCCAGCUCCUCCAGAUUCCCCAAAGCAGCCACUAUCCCCACCUUGUCUGCAAGUUCCCAUGUCCUCCACACACCCCUCUGCUGCACAUUCUUCCCAACCUAACUACAAAGAACUGAAUGGAAUCAGUUUUGUUUCCAUACACCAGGAAUAAAUAAAAUGGUUACUCCAG
rnacentral:lncRNA from 1 species